rnacentral:rRNA from 1 species
AUGGUGGCGUCGCUCGACGAGGCGAGCGAGAGUGACAGGCUGGCGUCAUGGGCGGGUAACCCGAGCUUCGCGUGCACGUCGUCGCCGCCCCUGGCGCUGGUGGUGACCGGGAACUCGCCGCGGUUCGACGUGUACGGGAACGACUUCGGGUGGGGCCGGCCGGUGGCCGUGCGGCGCAGCUCGGCGAACAAGACGGACGGGACGGCGACGGUGUUCGAAGGUAGGGGCGGCGGUGGGAGCAUGGCCCUGGAGGAGUGCCUCGCCCCGGAGGUGCUCGCGAGGCUCGUCGCCGACGACGAGUUCAUGAGCGCGGUGAGCACGGCCACAGCGUGA